GUCUGCGAUCACACUCACACUAGUGCACCAGAUCCCACGAGAACUCCGCACUUAGGCGUGCUUGGGCGAGGGUAGUACUAGGAUGGGUGACCUCCUCGGAAGUCCACGCGUUGCACGCA
rnacentral:rRNA from 1 species